UACGGGAUCGCUACCCGAGGACAGCGGUAGGUCCUGCCUACAAGAAAAUCACGAGCACGCCUUAGUGUGAGCGAAUAGAAACUUAGGAACACUUCGUUCAGUCAUUGUGGCAUUUAUGGAUUCGAUGAAAGUUUUUAGAACAGCUGAGAUGUCUGGUGCGACGUCUUCCGUUUGGCUCUGGUUGAUUUUGGUGUUCGCCAUCUUCAUCAAGUCUUCCUCGGCUGAACAGAUAAAUAUUACUGCUGUGUUUGGUGAAAGUGUCACUUUGCCAUGUCGAGUUUUGGAUGGUAACAAAACCAUCGAUGGCCUAGAGUGGAGCAAACCUGAGCUGGAGA